rnacentral:rRNA from 1 species
GACGAACGCUGGCGGCGUGCUUAACACAUGCAAGUCGAACGGAGUGGCGAACGGGUGAGUAACGCGCAAUCAACCUCCCCUUCAGAGGGGGACAACACGUGUAAACGACUCCUAAUAUCGCAUACUGAAGGUGGGGAUUGCGUCGGCUUAGCUAGUUGGCGGGGGAACGGCCCACCAAGGCGAUGAUCAGGAGCCGGUCUGAGAGGAUGGACGGCCACAUUGGGACUGAGACACGGCCCAGACGCCUACGGGAGGCAGCCGUGGGGAAUCGUCCGGAAUGGACGAAAGUCUGACGACACAGCGCCGCGUGAGUGAGGACGGCCGUCGAGUUGGAAAGCACUGUUAAUCGGGACGCGGUACCGGAAGAAAAAGCCACGGCUAACUACGUGCCAGCAGCCGCGGUAAUUC